rnacentral:rRNA from 1 species
UACGUAGGGCGCAAGCGUUGUCCGGAAUUAUUGGGCGUAAAGAGCUCGUAGGCGGCUUGUCACGUCGGAUGUGAAAGCCCGGGGCUUAACUCCGGGUCUGCAUUCGAUACGGGCUAGCUAGAGUGUGGUAGGGGAGAUCGGAAUUCCUGGUGUAGCGGUGGAAUGCGCAGAUAUCAGGAGGAACACCGGUGGCGAAGGCGGGUCUCUGGGCAGUAACUGACGCUGAGGAGCGAAAGCGUGGGGAGCGAACAGG